rnacentral:rRNA from 1 species
GUUUGAAAUUUUUAUAUAAUUAUAGGUUAAAUUUUAAUUAUUUAAAAUGUAUAGUUAUAAUUUUAAAUUUUGUUAAUCGAAUUAGAUUAGUACCUAAUUAGUCAAAAGUUAAAAAAGCAGAAGUAAAGUAAAAUUUAAACUGAAAGAAUAUUGGCAGAUUUUCUAAAUUAUCUUUGGAGGUUGAGUAAUAAUUGAGAACCCUCAUUAACUACUUUUUUAGUUGUCUCAUGUAUGAUCGUUUAUUAUAUGCUUAAGGGAUAUAAUUAAAAAUUUUUAUUUAAAAAAAUAGAUAUAUAUUUGGUUUAUAUAAAAGUAAUAUUUGACCUACAGUAAUUUGUAAUUGUGGAUCUAUUUUUUAGUAAAGUAGUGAAAAUGUAAAAGACAGUAAAAAAAUUUUUAUGAUUUUUUGAAGAUUAUUUAGAAG